UGGGGAAUAUUGGACAAUGGGCGAAAGCCUGAUCCAGCAAUGCCGCGUGAGUGAUGAAGGCCUUAGGGUUGUAAAGCUCUUUUACCCGGGAUGAUAAUGACAGUACCGGGAGAAUAAGCUCCGGCUAACUCCGUGCCAGCAGCCGCGGUAAUACGGAGGGAGCUAGCGUUGUUCGGAAUUACUGGGCGUAAAGCGCACGUAGGCGGCUUUGUAAGUUAGAGGUGAAAGCCUGGAGCUCAACUCCAGAACUGCCUUUAAGACUGCAUCGCUUGAAUCCAGGAGAGGUGAGUGGAAUUCCGAGUGUAGAGGUGAAAUUCGUAGAUAUUCGGAAGAACACCAGUGGCGAAGGCGGCUCACUGGACUGGUAUUGACGCUGAGGUGCGAAAGCGUGGGGAGCAGACAGGAUUAGAUACCCUGGUAGUCCACGCCGUAAACGAUGAUAACUAGCUGUCCGGGGACUUGGUCUUUGGGUGGCGCAGCUAACGCAUUAAGUUAUCCGCCUGGGGAGUACGGCCGCAAGGUUA
rnacentral:rRNA from 1 species